AUGAUAAUGCAAUCCACAGAAAGCUUUACGGAGGGGAAGGAAAAAUGCACUCCCUGGGGCUGGGAAGUCGCUGGGUCUGUGAAGGCAGAGAAAGAUACAUUGUGCAGGACAUUUCUCUCGCUUCUCCCCGCACAUAAAUCACUGUCUCUCGCGGGCGCUCUGCGGGAUGGAGGCGAGAGAGGCGAGGGACCCCGCUCCCUCGGGGAAACGUGCUGGCGCCCCCCCUCGCGGCGCCGCCGGCCCUCACCUGCCCCGCGGGCCUCGGUCAGGGGGCGGGAGCGUGCCGCUGACACCUCGGCCCGCCUCCCUCCCGGCGGCUCCGGGCCCCGGGACGCCGCCCGCCGCCGCCCUCCCCGGAGCGCGCGGAGCCCGGGACCCCCACGGCCGCCCGCGCCCCAGCCGCGCGCCCCGCGCCCCCGGGCUCCCCGGCCCCCGCCCUCCCGGGCUGCGGCGCGCCCCCCCCGCCCCUCUCGGCCGCGCGGACCCCGUCCCCGCACCUCCUGCGCGGCGGCCGGCUCCCAGAGCCACCCCCAGGUCAUGCCCCGCGCGCGGGCGGCGGCUGCGGCGGCGGCGGCUGCGAUCCGAGCGGGGCCCUCCAUGCACCGAGCGGGGCGGCAGGAGCGCGCGGCGCCUCGCACGCCGGGGCGGGGACGCAGGGCCGGGCGGGCGGGCGGGCUGGCGCCGGGUCCCCGCUCUCCGCGCACCAAGCCGCGCGAGCCGGGCACCCGGGACUCGGGGGAGGGGAGCGGGGGGGGCGGAGCCAGCGGGGCGCGCCCCCGCGGCCGCGCUCCUCUCCGCCCAGGCGCGCGGCGCGUCCCCGGCGGGCGCGGGGCCAGCGAGCUGCACGCGAGGAGCGGGAGGAGGGAACCGGGCCGGGGGGUGCGCGCGCAGCCUGCCAGAUCAGCGGCGGGGGGGGGGGGGGCGGGCCGUACCAACCUGCGGGGGGGGCUCUGCGCAGGACCGUCCCCUUCCCGCGCGCUCCCGGGGAGGCCGCCCCGAGGAAGGUCGAGCGCGGUCUCGGCCUCGGUUUCGGCUAGUGAGGGGGAGCCGCCUGGGCCGCCACGGAGGCUCCGGGAUGCCCGCGCGCUCGCCCUGCUCCCCUCGCGCCCCCCCCCGGCAGAGGCG
rnacentral:lncRNA from 1 species